CCGAGUCUUAAUUGGGCGUUAAGUUGCAGGGUAUAGACCCGAAACCCGGUGAUCUAGCCAUGGGCAGGUUGAAGGUUGGGUAACACUAACUGGAGGACCGAACCGACUAAUGUUGAAAAAUUAGCGGAUGACCUGUGGCUGGGGGUGAAAGGCCAAUCAAACCGGGAGAUAGCUGGUUCUCCCCGAAAGCUAUUUAGGUAGCGCCUCGUGAAUUCAUCUCCGGGGGUAGAGCACUGUUUCGGCUAGGGGGCCAUCCCGGCUUACCAACCCGAUGCAAACUGCGAAUACCGGAGAAUGUUAUCACGGGAGACACACGGCGGGUGCUAACGUCCGUCGUGAAGAGGGAAACAACCCAGACCGCCAGCUAAGGUCCCAAAGUCAUGGUUAAGUGGGAAACGAUGUGGGAAGGCCCAGACAGCCAGGAUGUUGGCUUAGAAGCAGCCAUCAUUUAAAGAAAGCGUAAUAGCUCACUGGUCGAGUCGGCCUGCGCGGAAGAUGUAACGGGGCUAAACCAUGCACCGAAGCUGCGGCAGCGAACGUAUCACCCAAGACAACUUUGCGGAGUUGACGAUUGACGGAGCGAAGCGACGUCAAAGCGUUCAUUAAAGUCGAGUUGGCUUAGGGAUACGUUCGUUGGGUAGGGGAGCGUUCUGUAAGCCUGUGAAGGUGUGCUGUGAGGC
rnacentral:rRNA from 1 species